rfam:Otolemur garnettii contig153086, whole genome shotgun sequence.
GGCUGGUCUGGUGGUAGUGGGUUAUCAAAGCUUAUUAAGAUUAGUGUCACCAAAGUUGAUGUUCAACCCCCUACUGCUAAAUUCGACUGGCUAAAA